rnacentral:rRNA from 1 species
CGGAGGGCGCAAGCGUUAUCCGGAUUCACUGGGUUUAAAGGGUGUGUAGGCGGGCAGUUAAGUCAGUGGUGAAAUCUCCGGGCUCAACCCGGAAACUGCCAUUGAUACUAUCUGUCUUGAAUACCGAUGAGGUGGGCGGAAUAUGUCAUGUAGCGGUGAAAUGCAUAGAUAUGACAUAGAACACCAAUUGCGAAGGCAGCUCACUAAACGGUCAUUGACGCUGAGGCACGAAAGCGUGGGGAUCAAACAGGAUUAGAUACCCUGGUAGUCCACGCCCUAAACGAUGAUUACUCGACAUACGCGAUACACAGUGUGUGUCUGAGCGAAAGCAUUAAGUAAUCCACCUGGGAAGUACGUCCGCAAGGAUG